UGUAAUUCACCUGUAACAAGCGGCAGUGUAAUGAAAAAUGGGUUACUACUUUAAACAAGACCCACUUGUUAUAUAACAAACACAGAAUGUUGGAUGACAAGUUGCAUGAAAUUCAUGAAAGUAGUUGCAAAGGGAUACAUGACAGGUUCAAGGACUUAGACUUCCUACAAACUAAACAUUACAAAACAAAAAUCAAACUAGGCUGCUUUGUUUCAAUAUGCAUGCCUAGUUGCCCACAUCUCAUCGGUCAUAUCAUCACGCAUUUGAUUCCAUUCGUUACUGCUGUCAACAUAAGUUAUAAUCAGGUCAUCUGACAGGAUUUCUGUCUUGGACGUUGAAAAGUCCGGUCCGUGGUAAGCUUGCUCAAAAAUAUUCGGUCCCCAACUCCCCGGAGUAGUUAUGUAACAGGGCACAAGCAUUGACGAUCAUCGAAACCUUCAUCGGAGAAAACCAUGAAGGAGAGCCCAACGCAUCUUCAUGAUGCCAAAAGUCCUCUGAAUAACAUUUCGGGUCCCUGAAUGAAUCAAGUUGAAUAGUUCCUCUUUAUUCCUAGACUUGUUCGGACCCCAUUCCAUUAAAUGAUAACGUUUGCCGAGGUAAGGAGUCAGGACCCCCUAGCAUUGGUGUAGCCAGCAUCGCUGAGGUAGUAUUUCCCAGUGAACAUAGUGAAGAGAACACUUGAACAAUACUCAAAAUUUCAUUAUAUAAUAUGUAAACAAUACAGAAACAGUUUAAUGUAUAAUACUUAAACAGUAAUGAAACAGUUUAUUACAUAAUACUUACACAAUACUCAAACAAUACCUAAACAUUACUCAAACAGACUCAAGGCAUUAUAUAACUUAACUGAUUUUGUAGGUGUAGCCAAACAGACUGAAGGCAUUAGCUGAAUGAACUAAUUUUGCAGGUACUCUAAAUAGACUCGGGCCAAUAUCGUAAUAAAUCGAUUGUGCAGGUACAUCAAACAAACUGAGGUGCAUUAUGUUACUGAACUGCAUCAUGACGGGUAAUGUAAAGACUCAAGGCAUUAUCCUACUCAAUCGAUUUUGCAGUUACAGCAAAAUUACUCAGGUGCAUUAUCCUACUGAACUGAUCAUGACAUAAAAUGCAAAGACUAUGCAUUAUUAUACUCAAUCUAAUUUGCAGGUACAACAAACAGUCUCAGGUGCAUUAUCGUCACUUAGCAUGUUUCAAAAGGAUAGAGCAGUAUAACUAUAAAAACGCACUAUAACUUUUAAUUACAGCAGUGUACUUGAUGCAUAAUCAGAAUAGUACCAAACUCCUAUGAAUUUGUAAUCGAGAUAUGAUAUUACAGCUAAGUUAUGGAGAAAGCCUAAUGGGCAAUAAAUCUUACCGGGAGGAACAACGAAGGAAUUGCUCGGGCCAUUGCAUCCCGAAGAACGCGACCAUCAUGUGCAGAUCCCGGGCAACCACUUAAGCAAUAGACGAAUGCCAUAUUCCAAUUGCAGACACCAAGGAAGUUAAUGGCAGUUACUGAUUUACGGUUCCGGUACUUUGGUGCAUCCUCAGACGAACAACAAACGGACACCAUCAUCUCAUCCAACGUUCCUAAACAGCCCUGUUACAAACUUAUGGUUAUUGUUAUUAUCAUACUACACAGUACAUAAGUAAAGCAUACAAAUUGCAAACGACAAUUGCGGCACCUACCGGAAAGUACUGCAACCGUCAAUCCGUGCAAUUAGGGGGGAUCCGCGUGGGGGUGGCGAGGAGAAGGGGACUGAAUUUCAGAAUCGACAAGAGUACAAGCUUAAAAGUUUGGCUAAUUGUCUAGCCGGAAUGUUGGAAGUGAAACUGUGCUUUCCGGUUCUUAAUGUUGUGGCAAACGGUUACGAGAAAUAUUGCCACCAUUUCAUAAUCUCCAUGUUUUAGUACGUCGCAACCCUCUCUCGUCUCUCAACGGGCCACAAAGGUUUGUACAUUGUUGACUAACUCGGCACAUAUUGAUACAUAACUGGUCAGACACCUUUGUGGCAUAGUGUAGGAAUCCUACACGAUACACUAUCCAGGGAACUGACAUUACUAAUGGGACUGGCUCUUCCCUCCUAUAUGUAAGAAGUGAGACUUGGACCAUGGCUGGUUGUGACAAAAUGAACACAUACUGUUGCAUCAUUUGGAACCACAGGGUAAUAAUGGUGGUUAUUACCUUUUGCCGUUAACGACUACCUGGUCGUCUAGCCAUAUGUAUGUAGUAUGUGCCAAACUAGGUUGACUACUAAGGUAUACAGAGUAUGAAGGAAAACCUAGAAAUUCAUAGCAAAAAAAUUCAUUGCUAGAUUUGGUACAUGGAACAAAACUGAGAGGGUAAUGAACCGUAAUACAAAGAUUCACAGUUACGUAGUUCAGAUGAAGAGGAUCAUAGGAAGUACUUACUGUGGGGAAAUGAAUUACUGUCGGAAAAUUAAGAAUCCAAUAAAUCAAAUCAUAUGUCCUUCUCGUAAGAACUAGAACAGAGUCGCACUUCAAACCGUUCCACCACUCGAAAAAUUUGACUUUCUGUAUAUGUCUCGAUGAACCCUAAAUUGAGAAACGAUUUGUUAAAGAAGGAGAACAGACUGACGAUGUUCAUGGAAGCGGACCAAUGAAUCGAGGAGACCCGCUUACCGCUCGUCGACUCCAAAAUAUUAUCCCCUUCCAACUUCCCUCGAAUCGAAAGCACAUGACUAGUCGGCAACCAUCUUCUAGAUCUCCAGUAUCUUCAUUCUUCUUCCAUCAGAAUUAACAUUUAAUGGUGAUAGGUCUGAGGUAGAAGAGAGAGGGAGAUGCCAGUGCAGUAACGCGAUGUAGAUGGUGAUGAGAGAAGGGGAAUCGCAAUUAUUACGCGGUGGGGAAACUGGGACAGGGAUGAUGAUGUGCCCUGUAUUUC
rnacentral:lncRNA from 1 species